CCUACGGGUGGCUGCAGUGGUGAAUAUUGGACAAUGGGCGCAAGCCUGAUCCAGCAAUACCGCGUGUGUGAAGAAGGCCUGAGGGUUGUAAAGCACUUUUAAUCGGGAGGAAUAGCGGUCGGUUAAUACCCGGUCGUCUGACAUUACCGAUAGAAAAAGCACCGGCUAACUCCGUGCCAGCAGCCGCGGUAAUACGGAGGGUGCAAGCGUUAAUCGGAAUUACUGGGGGUGGAGCGUUCGUUGGCGGUUGAAAGCCCCGGGCUUAACCUGGGAACGGCAUUUGAAACUGAUCGACUAGAGUUGGGUAGAGGGGAGUGGAAUUUCAGGUGUAGCGGUGAAAUGCGUAGAUAUCUGAAGGAACACCAGUGGCGAAGGCGGCUCCCUGGACCCAAACUGACGCUGAGGCACGAAAGCGUGGGUAGCAAACAGGAUUAGAUACCCUUGUAGUC
rnacentral:rRNA from 1 species